CAAAAGUCGCUUUGUUUGAUGAUGCCGAAUUGACUCGGCAGCCUCGGAAUCCCCCACCAGGGAAGGCAGCGAGCUGUUUGCUUGUUUACAGCGAAGCCUUUCCAUAUACCACGUCCUGGUGCGCCUGCUAGGAACCGAAGGCAUCAGGCGAGAGGAACAGCGGGCUCCUCACAUCCCUCCCAAGGCCGGUCCAGAAACCCCAGACGUCGGGUCGCCUUCUCACCUCCUCCGCUGAGAGUUGCAGAUCAGUUUACGUUGACAGAUUGGAGGGCAAAUGUGCAAAUGUUUAUGGUUUCAUCUGAGCAGAAAAAGAGCUCUGUUAACUUUGGCUGGGACUUUUCAGUAAGAAAUGCUUCUAUAUCAAAAGCAACAGCUAUUUUGAAGAAUAUAAAAAUUAUACUCAGAUGAGCUUUCUCCAUGUCACAGGGAAUAUGGCUCCUGGAAACAUUGGUCUCUCAUCUCAUCCCAGAAGCUCUUCCACCAGCAAAGAAAGGGGUAUCUUCCUCUUUGGUCCAAAUCUGAAAGCAACCCCAGAAAUGACUUGCAUUGUGUGGAAAGCCGCCUCCCGAAUCGGGCCUAGCGUAUGCGCUGCAGCCUGCUCUAGAGUUACCCCCGCCCAUCGAGUGAGCCAAGAUGGCGCCU